GGUUAAGCGACUAAGCGUACACGGUGGAUGCCCUGGCAGUCAGAGGCGAUGAAGGACGUGCUAAUCUGCGAUAAGCGUCGGUGAGGUGAUAUGAACCGUUAUAACCGGCGAUUUCCGAAUGGGGAAACCCAGUGUGUUUCGACACACUAUCAUUAACUGAAUCCAUAGGUUAAUGAGGCGAACCGGGGGAACUGAAACAUCUAAGUACCCCGAGGAAAAGAAAUCAACCGAGAUUCCCCCAGUAGCGGCGAGCGAACGGGGAGGAGCCCAGAGCCUGAAUCAGUGUGUGUGUUAGUGGAAGCGUCUGGAAAGGCGCGCGAUACAGGGUGACAGCCCCGUACACAAAAAUGCACAUAUUGUGAGCUCGAUGAGUAGGGCGGGACACGUGGUAUCCUGUCUGAAUAUGGGGGGACCAUCCUCCAAGGCUAAAUACUCCUGACUGACCGAUAGUGAACCAGUACCGUGAGGGAAAGGCGAAAAGAACCCCGGCGAGGGGAGUGAAAAAGAACCUGAAACCGUGUACGUACAAGCAGUGGGAGCCUCUUAAUGGGGUGACUGCGUACCUUUUGUAUAAUGGGUCAGCGACUUAUAUUCUGUAGCAAGGUUAACCGAAUAGGGGAGCCGAAGGGAAACCGAGUCUUAACUGGGCGUUAAGUUGCAGGGUAUAGACCCGAAACCCGGUGAUCUAGCCAUGGGCAGGUUGAAGGUUGGGUAACACUAACUGGAGGACCGAACCGACUAAUGUUGAAAAAUUAGCGGAUGACUUGUGGCUGGGGGUGAAAGGCCAAUCAAACCGGGAGAUAGCUGGUUCUCCCCGAAAGCUAUUUAGGUAGCGCCUCGUGAAUUCAUCUCCGGGGGUAGAGCACUGUUUCGGCAAGGGGGUCAUCCCGACUUACCAACCCGAUGCAAACUGCGAAUACCGGAGAAUGUUAUCACGGGAGACACACGGCGGGUGCUAACGUCCGUCGUGAAGAGGGAAACAACCCAGACCGCCAGCUAAGGUCCCAAAGUCAUGGUUAAGUGGGAAACGAUGUGGGAAGGCCCAGACAGCC
rnacentral:rRNA from 1 species